rnacentral:rRNA from 1 species
UACGGGGGGUGCGAGCGUUGUCCGGAAUCACUGGGCGUAAAGGGCGCGUAGGUGGCGCGAUAAGGGUGUGGUGAAAGCCCGGGGCUCAACCCCGGGUCUGCCAUGCCGACUGUCAGGCUCGAGUACUGUAGGGGCAGGCGGAAUUCCGGGUGUAGCGGUGGAAUGCGUAGAGAUCCGGAGGAAGAUCGGUGGCGAAGGCGGCCUGCUGGGCAGUUACUGACACUGAGGCGCGACAGCGUGGGGAGCAAACAGG